UGCGCAGGAGGUCUUGUGUGUUAGGCGUGAAAUCCCGAGGCUCAACCUCGGAACUGCACCUAAAACUACAGGACUAGAGUACUGGAGAGGGUAGUGGAGUUCACGGUGUAGCAGUGAAAUGCGUAGAUAUCGUGAGGAACACCAAUGGCGAAGGCAACUACCUGGACAGUUACUGACUCUCAGGCACGAAAGCGUGGUAGCAAAAG
rnacentral:rRNA from 1 species